UGUCCUGUUUCGCCCUGAUCUAUCGCUAUGCCCGUAGGGGAUGGGAUGGGAUGGGUGGGAAAUGGAACGGGUCAGGAGUAGAGGGCAAUGCGCUUCUCCUCUGUUUUGCCGGUACUAACGAUAGGCAUUUUGUAGUACUACUAUACUAGUUAUAAGAUGAUUGUAGAUUUGGGGAGCCACCGUGGGAAGAAUUGCACGGGGAGGGGCAGGGAUCGCGGCACCAGAGGAGUUGGCCCCUCGGCUUGAAUUAAAUUGUGGAUUACGAUCUAGGUCAUUCAGCACACUAAACUAUUGUGUCAAAUAUGCCACCAUCCCUUUAAUUUGCACAUCCGGAUCACUACGCUAAACUAAACGGGUGACUGCACAUAGAAACCUUGCCACGUUGAACGGGUGUAUCAACAACUUAGCCUAGUUAUGUUUAUGUGUGGAGUAGUGGCGGAGCUUGAACGAGGAUGCUGAUGGGGCUAAGCUGAUCGACCUCUCCGGCGCGUAGAUAUUUAAGCUGGCGGACGGAGUGUCUGUGCGUGAGAGUGAGACGGCGGCUAAGGCUAGCGUGGAAGAGGUACUCUUCAGUUGCUUCAUUCGGUUUUACUUAGUUUUGUGUCCCUGUUGGAUGUACAUGUACCCCAAUUGAACAUGUGUGGUGCUCGCUUUGCCGAAUUUUCUGUUUAAGGAUUAGCUAUUGUAGGGCAGAUGCUAUGUAGAGAAUCAAUUAAUUUCCUCUAGAAAUGCUCGAGUGGUGAUUUGGCGAAAUUUGGAAAUACUAGUUCUGCAUCAUGGCAUGGAUACUUUUAAGGGAGAUAGCAUCUAUUUAUCCGGCCAAAGAGCAUAUGCGAAGCCUUUGAUUCGAGGUAAAAUGGUGCAUCGCCUCUCCCUACAAGGUGUCAGUUUUAGCAUCUAGUUCUGCAUCAUGGCUGUAAACUGAACUUGGUUCAGUUAAAAACUGCACUGUCAAAUCUGGACAACAAGCUUAUAUAUGAAAAAUGAGUUAGCUAGGCUCGGAAUUUUGAGUUGGCCUCUUUACAUAAGUUUUAGAUAAAGUUCCAAGGUUUCUUUAGAGUAUUUAUUUGUGUCGUUUGGAUGUACGGUUUGAGAGCAGCCAUCAGUUUAGUUUGCUGUCCUGAAAUAUAUGUUCCUGGGUACAGUAUUUUGAUAUGGGAGAUUAGGCCCUGUUAGAGGUGGUAUUAAAAUAAAGUUACAACAUGAAAAUUUUAGAGGCUGUUCUGUAGAUACUUAAACGCAUAUCACUUGUCAGGUUUCGUUCGGUAUAUUAAAUCCUAUGAAAUUAUCAAAGUGGGCUGUACUAUGUUGGACAAAAUUUUAUGUUUGGACUUGGGUGAAUGUAACCAGACUUAUACUCUCAGAUUUUCUCAUAGUUGAUGGUGUGAGGACUUAUAAUGUGAUAAAGUAUAUACGUUGUUGCAACACCAAAAUUAGUGAAAUAUAUUUCCU